AGAACGAACGCUGGCGGCAGGCUUAACACAUGCAAGUCGAACGCUCCGCAAGGGGAGUGGCAGACGGGUGAGUAACGCGUGGGAACAUACCCCUCGGUUCGGAAUAACUCAGGGAAACUUGAGCUAAUACCGGAUACGGUCGAGAGGCGAAAGAUUUAUCGCCGAGGGAUUGGCCCGCGUCCGAUUAGCUAGUUGGUGAGGUAAUGGCUCACCAAGGCGACGAUCGGUAGCUGGUCUGAGAGGAUGAUCAGCCACAUUGGGACUGAGACACGGCCCAAACUCCUACGGGAGGCAGCAGUGGGGAAUAUUGGACAAUGGGCGAAAGCCUGAUCCAGCCAUGCCGCGUGAGUGAUGACGGCCUUAGGGUUGUAAAGCUCUUUCGUCAGGGACGAUAAUGACGGUACUGAAGAAGAAGCCCCGGCUAACUUCGCGCCAGCAGCCGC
rnacentral:rRNA from 1 species